rnacentral:rRNA from 1 species
UACGAAGGGGGCUAGCGUUGCUCGGAAUUACUGGGCGUAAAGCGCACGUAGGCGGAUUGUUAAGUCGGGGGUGAAAUCCUGGAGCUCAACUCCAGAACUGCCUUCGAUACUGGCGAUCUCGAGUUCGGGAGAGGUGAGUGGAACUGCGAGUGUAGAGGUGAAAUUCGUAGAUAUUCGCAAGAACACCAGUGGCGAAGGCGGCUCACUGGACACGUAUUGACGCUGAGGCGCGAAAGCUAGGGGAGCGAACGGG